rnacentral:tRNA from 1 species
GUCCCCUUCGUCUAGAGGCCUCGGGACACCGCCCUUUCACGGCGGUAACAGGGGUUCGAAUCCCCUAGGGGACGCCA